GCCCUCGUAGUUUAAUGGUUAUAAUACGCCACUAGUAAUGGUGAGGUUCUGUGUUCAAUUCACAGCGAGGGCA
rfam:Protomyces lactucaedebilis strain 12-1054 BCR37scaffold_3, whole genome shotgun sequence.